CCUACGGGAGGCAGCAGUGAGGAAUAUUGGUCAAUGGACGAGAGUCUGAACCAGCCAAGUAGCGUGAAGGAUGACUGCCCUAUGGGUUGUAAACUUCUUUUAUAAAGGAAUAAAACGAGGCACGUGUGCCUUUUUGCAUGUACUUUAUGAAUAAGGAUCGGCUAACUCCGUACCAGCAGCCGCGGUAAUACGGAGGAUCCGAGCGUUAUCCGGAUUUAUUGGGGUUAAAGGUAGCGUAGAUGGGUUGUUAAGUCAGUUGUGAAAGUUUGCGGCUCAACCGUAAAAUUGCAAUUGAUACUGGCAGUCUUGAGUACAGUUGAGGUAGGCGGAAUUCGUGGUGUAGCGGUGAAAUGCUUAGAUAUCACGAAGAACCCCGAUUGCGAAGGCAGCUUACUAAACUGUGACUGACAUUGAUGCUCGAAAGUGUGGGUAGCAAACAGGAUUAGAUACCCCAGUAGUC
rnacentral:rRNA from 1 species